AUUGAACGCUGGCGGCAGGCUUAACACAUGCAAGUCGAGCGAGUGGCGGACGGGUGAGUAAUGUCUGGGAAACUGCCUGAUGGAGGGGGAUAACUACUGGAAACGGUAGCUAAUACCGCAUACCAUCAGAUGUGCCCAGAUGGGAUUAGCUAGUAGGUGGGGUAAUGGCUCACCUAGGCGACGAUCCCUAGCUGGUCUGAGAGGAUGACCAGCCACACGGGAACUGAGACACGGUCCAGACUCCUACGGGAGGCAGCAGUGGGGAAUAUUGCACAAUGGGCGCAAGCCUGAUGCAGCCAUGCCGCGUGUGUGAAGAAGGCCUGCGGGUUGUAAAGCACUUUCAGCGAGGCGGAGUUACUCGCAGAAGAAGCACCGGCUAACCACGGGCCAGCAGCCGCGGUAAUUC
rnacentral:rRNA from 1 species